GGUUCUCUCUAUGCAGCUCAGGCUGGCCUUGAGCUCACUUUGUAGCCCAGGCUGGUCUCGAACUCGCAACAAUCCUCCUGCCUCAGCCUCCCGAGUGCUGGGAUUACAGGCGUGAGCCACCAUGCCCG
ensembl:miRNA